rnacentral:rRNA from 1 species
CCUACGGGAGGCAGCAGUGAGGAAUAUUGGUCAAUGGGCGGGAGCCUGAACCAGCCAAGUCGCGUGAGGGAAGACGGUCCUAUGGAUUGUAAACCUCUUUAGGCGGGGAGCAAUGCCGGGCACGUGUGCCCGGAGGGAGAGUACCCGCAGAAUAAGCAUCGGCUAACGCCGUGCCAGCAGCCGCGGUAAUACGGAGGAUGCGAGCGUUAUCCGGAUUUAUGGGGUUUAAAGGGUGCGUAGGCGGAUUUUUAAGUCAGCGGUAAAAUGUCCGGGCUCAACCCGGGCCGGCCGUUGAAACUGGGGAUCUUGAGUGGGCGAGAAGUAUGCGGAAUGCGUGGUGUAGCGGUGAAAUGCAUAGAUAUCACGCAGAACUCAGAUUGCGAAGGCAGCAUACCGGAGCCCGACUGACGCUGAGGCACGAAAGCGUGGGGAUCGAACAGGAUUAGAUACCCGAGUAGUC